AUUAACAAUUGGAGGGCAAGCCUGGUGCCAGCAGCCGCGGUAACCCCAGCUCCAAUAGCGUAUAUUAAAGUUGUUGCGGUUAAAAAGCUCGUAGUUGAAUCUGUGUCCCACACUGUCGGUUCACCGCUCGCGGUGUUCAACUGGCAUGUCUGUGGGACGUCCUGCCGGUGGGCGCAGCCCGUCAAAAGGCGGCCCAACUCAAAAUCCUACCACGGUGCUCUUCACCGAGUGUCGAGGUGGGCCGGUACGUUUACUUUGAACAAAUUAGAGUGCUUAAAGCAGGCUCAUUCGCCUGAAUAUUCUGUGCAUGGAAUAAUGGAAUAGGACCUCGGUUCUAUUUUGUUGGUUUUCGGAACUCCGAGGUAAUGAUUAAUAGGGACAACUGGGGGCAUUCGUAUUGCGACGUUAGAGGUGAAAUUCUUGGAUCGUCGCAAGACGGACAGAAGCGAAAGAAAUGUGUUUUCAUCAAUCAAGAACGAAAGUUAGAGGUUCGAAGGCGAUCAGAUACCGCCCUAGUUCUAACCAUAAACGAUGCCAGCUAGCGAUCCGCCGAAGUUCCUCCGAUGACUCGGCGGGCAGCUUCCGGGAAACCAAAGCUUUUGGGUUCCGGGGGAAGUAUGGUUGCAAAGCUGAAACUUAAAGGAAUUGACGGAAGGGCACCACCAGGAGUGGAGCCUGCGGCUUAAUUUGACUCAACACG
rnacentral:rRNA from 1 species